UACGUAGGGACCGAGCGUUGUCCGGAAUCAUUGGGCGUAAGGAGCGUGUAGGCGGCUUGGUAGGUCCGCUGUGAAAACUCGAGGCUCAACCUCGAGAUGUCGGCGGAAACCACUUGGCUAGAGUCCGGAAGAGGAGAGUGGAAUUCCCGGUGUAGCGGUGAAAUGCGCAGAUAUCGGGAAGAACACCUAUGGCGAAGGCAGCUCUCUGGGACGGUACUGACGCUGAGACGCGAAAGCGUGGGGAGCGAACAGG
rnacentral:rRNA from 1 species